rnacentral:rRNA from 1 species
GAAGAAUACCAGUGGCGAAGGCGGCCUCCUGGAUCUGUACUGACACUGAGGUGCGAAAGCGUGGGUAGCGAACAGGAUUAGAUACCCUGGUAGUCCACGCCGUAAACGAUGACAACUAGCUGUUAGGAGACUAUGUCUUUUAGUGGCGCAGCUAACGUUUUAAGUUGUCCGCCUGGGGAGUACGGCCGCAAGGCUAAAACUCAAAUGAAUUGACGGGGACCCGCACAAGCAGUGGAUCAUGUGGUUUAAUUCGAUGCAACGCGAAAAACCUUACCUACUCUUGACAUACUUGGAAGCUCUUGUAAUGAGAGUGUGCUUUUAAGAACCAAGAUACAGGUGCUGCAUGGCUGUCGUCAGCUCGUGUCGUGAGAUGUUCCGUUAAGUCGGAUAACGAGCGCAACCCUUACCCUUAUUUGCCAGCGAUUCGGUCGGGAACUAUAAGGGGACUGCCGGUGAUAAACCGGAGGAAGGUGAGGACGACGUCAAGUCAUCAUGGCCCUUACGAGUAGGGCUACACACGUGAUACAAUGGGAGAGACAGACGGACGCUAAGCCGCGAGGUGGUGCUAAUCCUAGAAACUCUCUCGUAGUCCGGAUUGGAGUCUGCAACUCGACUCCAUGAAGUUGGAAUUGCUAGUAAUCGCGGAUCAGCAUGCCGCGGUGAAUACGUUCUCGGGUCUUGUACACACCGCCCGUCACACCAUGGAAGUGGAUUGCACCAGAAGUAGAUAGUCUAACCUUAGGGAAGGCGUUUACCACGGUGUGCUUCAUGACUGGGGUGAAGUCGUAACAAGGUAACCA